AUGAACGCUGGCGGCGUGCUUAACACAUGCAAGUCGAACGAAGCACCUUUGAUUGAUUCUUCGGAUGAAAGAUUUGGUGACUGAGUGGCGGACGGGUGAGUAGCGCGUGGGUAACCUGCCUCAUACAGGGGGAUAACAGUUAGAAAUGACUGCUAAUACCGCAUAAGCGCACGGUAUCGCAUGAUACAGUGUGAAAAACUCCGGUGGUAUGAGAUGGACCCGCGUCUGAUUAGCUAGUUGGUGAGGUAACGGCUCACCAAGGCAACGAUCAGUAGCCGGCCUGAGAGGGUGAACGGCCACAUUGGGACUGAGACACGGCCCAAACUCCUACGGGAGGCAGCAGUGGGGAAUAUUGCACAAUGGGGGAAACCCUGAUGCAGCGACGCCGCGUGAGCGAUGAAGUAUUUCGGUAUGUAAAGCUCUAUCAGCAGGGAAGAAAAAUGACGGUACCUGACUAAGAAGCACCGGCUAAAUACGUG
rnacentral:rRNA from 1 species